rnacentral:rRNA from 1 species
ACGCUCGACACCUACGGAGGCAGCAGUGGGGAAUAUUGCACAAUGGGGGAAACCCUGAUGCAGCGACGCCGCGUGGAGGAAGAAGGUCUUCGGAUUGUAAACUCCUGUUGUUGGGGAAAAGAGGAUGGUACCCAACAAGGAAGUGACGGCUAACUACGUGCAGCACGCCGGACGGUAAUCUGGAGGGCGGGCGUGGACGAAGGC